rnacentral:lncRNA from 1 species
UCCAUAUCCAACAUUUACCCCCAACAGCUAUAAUUUCACAGCAGUCCAAAACUAAACAUCAUGUAUAUAAACAGAGCAGACAGAGAAGAUAGAAUAAGACCAUAUUUAAUAAGCUAAAUAAACAUGAAGUACUGAGCUACAAAUCAUAAUCAAACUUGAGCAGUAUAGAGGUAUCUUACAUCACCCCAAGCAUUUAUAUUUUAUUUCAUAAUAACAAUGGAGAAAAGAAGGUAAAAGAAGAGCAUGAGGUUAUAAAAGCACUCACUCAAACUUAUAGUGUUUGUCAACAGCCACUGAAACUUCCCAAGUGCAACCCAUCCCUUUAGGAAACUCAACUAAAUCACCAGCACUAAUUUCAACAAAGUCAUUGCUACCAUCAGGGUAUACCUUGACUUUCCCUUCCAAUAGAUAACAUGUCUCUUUUGAACUAUAUGU